UAUUCUUCUAAAUCUAUGUCUAGCCUAGCUCGUUGCCUUUUAAUUUCCAACUGCUUCUUUGAAUAGGCUACCUUGGUUGCCGCUGCUUCAGCCGAAUCUCUGGCUCUGGCAGCUGCCUCCAGAACGGAAUUGUAGGAUGAUGAGUGCUUGGAGUUAGCACUAGCUCUCGAUGCACUGUGGACUGAUGACUUGGAAGAUGAAGGUCGACGUGAAUUCUCUUCAAAGUCUACCGUCUCCAUGUCGACAACGCUGGAUACAUCUUUGUCAGCCAUGUUUGGAUCUUUUGUUGUUUCUUCAACUCACUGUGGUGUGGCUUUUUACUGUACUGAUCCCUCCAUGCGUUAUGUACUUUGUGUACCUUAUCACAGUUCAGCCAGCCAAACACAUGUAUAAAACACUUCAGCCAGGAUUCAAAGUGUCUUGUUCCCUUUAUUUCCAUCCAGUGUAAGUUACACUGUAAGUUACGAAUACAACUGCAAAUGAAACAACAAAAACACGUAGUUUCUUCCACAGUAUUGUUCUUAUAAACUGUAAUGAAGUUAUCCAACAAAACGAUUACAGCUUACAGCCAUUGCUUCCGUGAGCAUAAGUGGAGAAAAAUUCGCCUGGAUGGCGCGAGUAAGCCUAACGUCUCUCAAAUUCAUUAGUUGUCAAGUCACUUGAACUUCCGGUGCAUUUCAAAAUAAAGUGCUGAUUCGCUUCCGAACGACAA